rnacentral:rRNA from 1 species
CUGAAAGGACUAUGCUAUGUCAAGGGGACCACUGCCCUCCACAAAGUACAUCUUGUGCCUAUGGGCCGCUAUAACUAUCCAAGAAGACACUCGAAAAAGGAAGGAUAA